rnacentral:rRNA from 1 species
UACGAAGGGGGCUAGCGUUGUUCGGAAUUACUGGGCGUAAAGCGCGUGCAGGCGGUUGUUCAAGUCAGGUGUGAAAGCCUUGAGCUCAACUCAAGAAAUGCACUUGAUACUGGAUGACUAGAGGACCGGAGAGGAUAGUGGAAUUCCCAGUGUAGUGGUGAAAUACGUAGAGAUUGGGAAGAACACCAGUGGCGAAGGCGGCUAUCUGGACGGUUUCUGACGCUAAGACGCGAAAGCGUGGGGAGCAAACAGG